GACGCCGUGGCUUAGUUGUUUAAAGUGCCUGUCGAAUAAACAGGAGACACGAGUUCGAAUCUUGUCGGUGCCU